rnacentral:lncRNA from 1 species
UGGAAAAUUCAUGAAUUUUUAAACCUGUAGAGACAUGUGAUGCAAGUUGUGUGGUAUUUUUUCAUAAUUUAAAAAGAUGGCUAAGUAUAUUAAUAGACUACUGUUCAUGGAUUGUUCUUCACAUGUCUACGAGUGUGGCCGGGGGGCUUCUAGGGGUAGCUAUGCCACCAGAUCUUGCGGUGCUUCCUCUUCUAUGUGUGAAAG